UUUCAGCUUGUUCUUUAUUUGUAUUUUUUCUCUCCUCUUCCUACUGAGAGAGACUUAGAGAAAUUAAAGGAGGCGGACGGCUGUCCCUCACAUUUGGCCAAUCACCUUUGUUUAUAUAUAAUAUGUAAGUAGAGUUCUAAUUAUUUACACUUCCCAAAAUACCCCUUAGAUAUUAUUAUUUUUUUAAAAAAAGAAAUAGCUUAAAUUGAAUUAAAGCAGAUAAAAUCACAUACUUCUAAAUAAU
rnacentral:lncRNA from 1 species